GUCCUACUUUCCAACUUUUCAAAAUGCCCAUGGUGGUUGAAUAUGCAAGAUGGCUCUUACAGUCCUAAAAAACAUUCAAGGGGGCAUUCAAAUGCAUUUUAAUGUUGUUUUUUUAGCCUCUUCAUGCUUUUUAAUACCUAUUAUGCCUAUAGCCUUUGUAAUAUCAACUGUUUUCAGGGCCGUAACUACAUAUGAGGCAUCGCACGUACUGCCUCCCCUGAAUUUUCUACACCAAAAUUUCAAGUAAUAAAAUGAAAUAUUGACAAUAUGUACACGAAGAAUUUGAAUUUAUAUUAUAAACAACACAAGUCUACAGUUUUAACAAUGUUAUCAUGAUACGUGAUACAUGUCAUUUUUCAGAUUUUUGAUCGAUAGUGAAAUGUUUCAGUAUUUGUUUGUUUUUUUUUUCGUGUGGCCGUCUGUCUGUUAUUCAGAUUCGUACGAGACCAUAUAUUAAACUUUGUUUUUCAAUAAUUUUGAAUAAAACUUAACUGCUCACAUUUAUUUAGGUACUCAAUUAAGCAUAGGAAGUUCCCUUUGUAUUGUGAAUCUUUAAUAAUAUCGGAAAUUCGUAACCAGCUGAAUCAGCAGUUGGAUCAUUUUUUUUAACGUUUCCUGAUCGUACGAGAACAUUAUGAUCAAUGCCUUUAAAAUUGCCCUAAUAUUUAAACACUCCCAUUCGUUGUAGCACGGACUUUCUAUACUAAGUAUAUACUAGUAUAGAAAGUCCCUGGUUGUAGUUAUAUACAUCUACAUGUUUGUUCAGCUUUCAACAAUAUUGAAAUUUAAGGUCCUCGAUAAAAAAAUAUAUCUUGCGUUCUUUGAUCUUGCUUUAUAUGGUUUUUUUUUUUUAACUUAUCAGUUUUAUUUCUAACAAAAAG
rnacentral:lncRNA from 1 species